UAUAUAACAUAAAUAACCCAUUUUCACAACCUUUAACCUCUCCAAAACGCACAGCACGACGAAGGAAUUUCACCAGAAUCCAGAACCGCACAACUCUCACCCAAACACCCGAAACCCCUUCUUCGCUCGUAAUGGCUCGACGGUUCACCGACAAACGCCUAGUUCAUCUCCUUAGAAUCUGACUACAUCUUUAUGGAUGAUAUAUUCAUUUGCAAGUUUGACACAAAUCGCAAUAUUGUUCACUAGCUGAAGAAUCAUCGUGUCGAGAAUAUGUCUACAAUUCUUUGGAGAGUAUACCGAGUGAUCAUCAAGAUCAAAAUGACUAGGCAGAGUGGUCAUGACAGAAGAAGCGCAAAACAAUUUUCCCGAAACCCACAUGAUUCUCGAGACGCGCCGAACAGGAGGAUUGGUUACAUAAAAAUUAGGAAGUGUUAUGAUGGUGUAUCGCGGAUGUGCUAAUUCUUUAUUUUGGCAAAGAUUCAUCUUGCUGUCCAUUUGAAGGAGGAAAUGGAGAUAUAGUGAAACCUGUGAAUCCAUGGUGAUUUCGACGACGGUGAUGGUGGUGACAGACGAGAGAUAUUGACCAACACCUCAUAGAUAUGAAAAAGAGUCAAUUGAUCACAUCUAACAAUUUGACGCAUGAUUUUUUGGGAAAAUGGUUGAAGUUAAAUCUACAAGAACAUCAAAUGCAAAUUGUUGAAGAGAAAAAUCUACAAGAACACCAAUUGCAAAUGGUUGAAGAGAAAAAUCUACAAAAACACCAAAUGCAAAUGAAUGAAGAGAAAAAGAAUCAAGAAAAUAAUGACAAAAUGAAAGAGAUUGAAAAAAACUUAAAUAUAGAUAUAGUUUUGUUUAAUGAAUGAUUUGUUGGUACAAGUUGCAUGGAAGUGAUUGAGUUUUUUUUACAAAUAGAUAUGACUUUAGUUUGAUGUAUGACUUGUAUGAGAUACAUGAAGAUGAUAUAAUUUGUUUGUUUUUGUUAGUUUUUUUGUUUAUCCAAUGUCUAGGAAUCUCUACAAAAUAUUGGUUAAACAAAUUUCUAAAAAUUAAUUUUUAAAAAUUGAUAUUUUUUACCUCCGUAGUAUCUAAAAUAGUGUAAACUCAUUUAAAUUUAAUAUAUGUAUGUGACCGUUUACACCCAUUUAAAUUUAAAUAGGAUGUAAAUAUCUUAAAAUUCAAUGUAAAUAUCUAGUAAUUUACACUUGUUUUUAUCUAAAAUAGGAUGUAAUAUACUCUCUUUUUACAUCCGUUAUAUCUAAAAUAGAGUGUAAAUUUGUUUAAAUUUAAUGUAUAUACGUGACAGUUUACAUCCAUUUUAUGUAAACUAGAGUGUGAUAUAUCCUAUUUUUACACCCGUUUUAAAGCCGGUGCAAAUUUGUCAUACAUAUCUCAACCGAUGAAUUUAGACUCGAUCAUAACGGGUAUCUUUAAAUGCACAAGUACCCUCACUCCCAACAUUGAGUCAAAAAUAAAUAAAUAAUGGUCUUUCAAAUGCAAUUUAAGGCAGGCACCAAGUAUCUUUACCGUAUUAGUUGACACAAUUAAAACGUGGGUAUAACUUCACUACCCCAUAAGUGAUCACUAUCAUUUUAUUUUUCCAAGAACUCAAAUACCAAUUGCACAAGAAUUGACAUUAAAAACGUUGUUAAAAUCCAUCGUCGUAUCAGAAUUGCUUGGAACUGUCAACAGAAACAUUUUUAUCAGCAUUGCUUGGAACUGUCAACAGAAACAUUUUUAUCAGCGUUUUAAAUUUCAAACUCCCAACUUCUUCAUAGCCAACUUCUCUCUUCCAUGGCUAAUGACAAAACAGAUGAGCCAGUGUUGUUGAAGCUUCUCGUAGACACAGAAACAGACAAAGUUGUAUUUGCUGAAGCAGGAAAAGACUUUGUUGAUGUUCUAUGUAGCUUCUUAACAUUACCAUUAGGAACCAUUGCAAGACUUAUUCAGAAGGAUUCAAACAUGGGACCUGUCAAAGUUGGCUGUCUUAACUCACUCUAUCAAAGUGUGGCCGAUCUUAGCAAAAGAUAUUUCUUAACAAAGACACAUAAAAAAAUGUUAUUGCAACCAAUAAACUCUUCAGAAGAUUAUUGCAACUCUCUCACACUUAACAUUGAUGAUACUCCUCCGGCUACGUACUUCUUAUGUACUAUAGUUGAUGAUAACUGCUGCGGUAAUGGUUUAUAUACUUCCUCUGAUAAUAAUU